CCUACGGGAGGCAGCAGGCUAGAAAAUUGGGCAAUGGGCGAAAGCCUGACCCAGUGACGCCGCGUGAAUGAUGAAGGCCUUCGGGUUGUAAAGUUCUGUGAGAAGGGAAGAUGGGGUGCAAUGUUAAUACCAUUGUACUCUGACGUUGUACCUUCAGAGGAAGCUCCGGCUAACUCCGUGCCAGCAGCCGCGGUAAUACGGAGGGAGCAAGCGUUGUCCGGAAUCACUGGGCGUAAAGGGAGCGUAGGUGGAUAGGUAGUUGGAUGGUGAAAUCUUACGGCUCAACCGUGAAAUUGCAUCCAAUACUGCCUUUCUUGAGUGCAGAAGAGGAGAGCGGAACUCCUAGUGUAGCGGUGGAAUGCGUAGAUAUUAGGAGGAACACCAGUAGCGAAAGCGGCUCUCUGGUCUGUUACUGACACUGAGCUCGAAAGCUAGGGGAGCAAACA
rnacentral:rRNA from 1 species